GAAUUGGCUGUAAUCAGUGCUCUGUGCUGCCUGUCUGCGUUCGCGCUGCUCGGCUCUCCGAGGCGUUCGUAGGCUUAGCUCGCUGGUACUCAGUACGCAUUUACAGUCAAAGUUGCUGGAUGCCUUGGUUGCUCCUUCCGAACUGUGUGGUGAGGCCCACUUCGGUGGUGUCCUAUCUGCAGGAAGGUUGGUGGCGGCUAAGGUGUUUUGAGCCUUGCUUUUGCGAUGAGUCUGGGUGUGAGCGUUCCGGGGGAUCAUCUGGCGUGCCAGUGUGAACCCGUGCGUUUCAUGCUUAGGCAACUUCGUGGGCUCUUUUCCGGCCUGAAAAGUCGACCACCUAUCCGACCCGUCUUGAAACACGGACCAAGAAGUCUAGCAUGUACGCGAGUCAUUGGGCGAAAACCCCAAAGGCGCAAUGAAAGUAAAGGUUAGCUUGCUAACUGAUAUGUGAUCCGUCGGCUUCGGCGGCGCAACAUAGCCCCAUGCAAACUGCUUGCAGUUGUGUGGAGGUAGAGCGUACAUGCUGGGACCCGAAAGAUGGUGAACUAUGCCUGAGCAGGACGAAGCCAGAGGAAACUCUGGUGGAGGUCCGAAGCGGUUCUGACGUGCAAAUCGAUCGUCUGACUUGGGUAU
rnacentral:rRNA from 1 species